UACGGAGGGGGCUAGCGUUGUUCGGAAUUACUGGGCGUAAAGCGUGCGCAGGCGGUUGUGCAAGACAGAGGUGAAAUCCCCGGGCUUAACCUGGGAACUGCCUUUGUGACUGCACGGCUAGAGUGUGUCAGAGGGGGGUAGAAUUCCACGUGUAGCAGUGAAAUGCGUAGAUAUGUGGAGGAAUACCGAUGGCGAAGGCAGCCCCCUGGGAUAACACUGACGCUCAUGCACGAAAGCGUGGGGAGCAAACAGG
rnacentral:rRNA from 1 species